CACGUAGGGUGCGAGCGUUGUCCGGAAUUACUGGGCGUAAAGCGUGCGCAGGCGGUUGUGCAAGACCGAUGUGAAAUCCCCCGGGCUUAACCUGGGAAUGGCAUUGGUGACUGUAUGGCUAGAGUGUGUCAGAGGGGGGGUAGAAUUCCACGUGUAGCAGUGAAAAUGCGUAGAGAUGUGGAGGAAUACCGAAUGGCGAAGGCAGCCCCCCUGGGAUAACACUGACGCUACAUGCACGAAAGCGUGGGGAGCAAACAAGGAUUA
rnacentral:rRNA from 1 species